UCGAACGGUGAAAGAGAGCUUGCUCUCUGGAUCAGUGGCGAACGGGUGAGUAACACGUGAGCAAUCUGCCCCUGACUCUGGGAUAACAGCUGGAAACAGCUGCUAAUACCGGAUACGAGCUGCGAAGGCAUCUUCAGCAGCUGGAAAGAAUUUCGGUCAGGGAUGAGCUCGCGGCCUAUCAGCUAGUUGGUGAGGUAAUGGCUCACCAAGGCGUCGACGGGUAGCCGGCCUGAGAGGGUGACCGGCCACACUGGGACUGAGACACGGCCCAGACUCCUACGGGAGGCAGCAGUGGGGAAUAUUGCACAAUGGGCGAAAGCCUGAUGCAGCAACGCCGCGUGAGGGACGACGGCCUUCGGGUUGUAAACCUCUUUUAGCAGGGAAGAAGCGAAAGUGACGGUACCUGCAGAAAAAGCGCCGGCUAACUACGUGCCAGCAGCCGCGGUAAUACGUAGGGCGCAAGCGUUAUCCGGAAUUAUUGGGCGUAAAGAGCUCGUAGGCGGUUUGUCGCGUCUGCUGUGAAAACCCGAGGCUCAACCUCGGGCCUGCAGUGGGUACGGGCAGACUAGAGUGCGGUAGGGGAGAUUGGAACUCCUGGUGUAGCGGUGGAAUGCGCAGAUAUCAGGAAGAACACCGAUGGCGAAGGCAGAUCUCUGGGCCGUAACUGACGCUGAGGAGCGAAAGGGUGGGGAGCAAACAGGCUUAGAUACCCUGGUAGUCCACCCCGUAAACGUUGGGAACUAGUUGUGGGGGUCCAUUCCACGGAUUCCGUGACGCAGCUAACGCAUUAAGUUCCCCGCCUGGGGAGUACGGCCGCAAGGCUAAAACUCAAAGGAAUUGACGGGGACCCGCACAAGCGGCGGAGCAUGCGGAUUAAUUCGAUGCAACGCGAAGAACCUUACCAAGGCUUGACAUAUACGAGAACGCUGCAGAAAUGUAGAACUCUUUGGACACUCGUAAACAGGUGGUGCAUGGUUGUCGUCAGCUCGUGUCGUGAGAUGUUGGGUUAAGUCCCGCAACGAGCGCAACCCUCGUUCUAUGUUGCCAGCACGUAAUGGUGGGAACUCAUGGGAUACUGCCGGGGUCAACUCGGAGGAAGGUGGGGAUGACGUCAAAUCAUCAUGCCCCUUAUGUCUUGGGCUUCACGCAUGCUACAAUGGCCGGUACAAAGGGCUGCAAUACCGUAAGGUGGAGCGAAUCCCAAAAAGCCGGUCCCAGUUCGGAUUGAGGUCUGCAACUCGACCUCAUGAAGUCGGAGUCGCUAGUAAUCGCAGAUCAGCAACGCUGCGGUGAAUACGUUCCCGGGUCUUGUACACACCGCCCGUCAAGUCAUGAAAGUCGGUAACACCUGAAGCCGGUGGCCCAACCCUUGGGAGGGA
rnacentral:rRNA from 1 species